rnacentral:rRNA from 1 species
AUAUGCUUGUCCCGACGCUUAAGCCAUGCAAGCCUUAGAAGAAGUAGCUGAUCCCAAAUCUGCGAGCGGCUCCGUAUAUCUGUUAUCACUCCCCGCCCCGGGUAUCCUCGGAUAUCCCAGGUAAUUCUUAGGCUAAUACGUGCUUAUUUCGGGGCCGCCUAGCUGGGUGGGUUCACCGCCACGUGGCGGCUCCGGGCUUGCGGCGUCUUGCCAACGGCCCCCCCUUUCGGGGGGGGGCUCGCGGGAGGGCACGCAAGGGGCCCUUACCGUCCUUGCGGCGGUGGGGGUCGAUAGGCUCCAGACCUAUCAACCACGGCGUAGGGGAGAGCCCCUCGCCGGUGAUAACGGGUACAGAGGAUCAGGGUUCGGUCCUGGAGAGGUAGCCUUAGAGAUCGCUACUACUUCUAAGGAAGGCAGCAGGCGCGCAACGUUCCCAAUGGGGAGGACCCUGAGGACGUGAGGGGGCAUAGCAAUGCGGUGCCCUAAAAGGCGCUGCAAUUGAAAUGGGGGCGUCUUAGAUCCCCCACCGAGUAACGAUUGGAGGACAAGUCUGGUGCCAGCACCCGCGGUAAUUCCAGCUCCAAUAGCGUCUCGUUAAGUUGCUGCAGUUAAAACGCUCGUAGUCCCAGCCGGUGGCGCCUGGCAGGAUCCAUAGUAGCCUGGGUGAAAACGUAGGGGCGGGGGGGUGUCGCGGCGGUGCCACAGGUACGCGCCCCUUACCCCCUCCCCCGAGCCACCCAACGAAAUGGUCCAUACCACCCACCUAAUCGCCCUGGACCGGGGCGGCGGGGCUUCAGUGCCCUGCCGCCCCACCAGGGCACCAUACUUUGAGUAAAUUUGAGCGCUCAACGCAGGCCUCUAUGGCCGCCCUUGAAAAUCCUAGCAAAGAAUAUCGGAACAGGACUCGUCCUGGCCCGUUGGUACUAGGAGGAUUAAUGAUUAAUAGGGGGGAUCGGGGCCGGCCACAUGGCGGGGGUAGGGGUGAAAUCCGUUGAUCCUCGCCAGGUGAACUAAAGCGAAAGCAGCCGGCUAGUACCCUUUCUUUGAUCAAGAACGAAAGUCUGGGGAUCGAAGAUGAUCAGAUACCAUCGUAGUCCAGACCCUAAAUGCUGCCGACCAUGGAUGGGCUAGUGUCCAUCCCGACCCGGCCCGGACCUUGGGGGAAACCACGAGUGUCUGGGCUCCGGGGGGAGUAUGGUCGCAAGACUGAAACUUAAAGGAAUUG